UGGCGACCGGCGCACGGGUGCGUAACGCGUAUGCAACCUGCCCAUAACAGGGGCAUAACACUGAGAAAUUGGUACUAAUUCCCCAUAACAUUCGAGAAGGCAUCUUCUUGGGUUAAAAACUCCGGUGGUUAAAGAUGGGCAUGCGUUGUAUUAGCUAGUUGGUGAGGUAACGGCUCACCAAGGCAACGAUACAUAGGGGGACUGAGAGGUUAACCCCCCACAUUGGUACUGAGACACGGACCAA
rnacentral:rRNA from 1 species